UAUGCCUAUGGGGGGCAGCAGUGGGGAAUAUUGGGCAAUGGGCGCAAGCCUGACCCAGCAACGCCGCGUGAAGGAAGAAGGUUUUCGGAUCGUAAAACUCUGUUGGUAGAGAAGAACGUUGGUGAGAGUGGAAAGCUCAUCAAGUGACGGUAACUACCCAGAAAGGGACGGCUAACUACGUGCCAGCAGCCGCGGUAAUACGUAGGUCCCGAGCGUUGUCCGGAUUUAUUGGGCGUAAAGCGAGCGCAGGUGGUUUAUUAAGUCUGGUGUAAAAGGCAGUGGCUCAACCAUUGUAUGCAUUGGAA
rnacentral:rRNA from 1 species